CAGAUAAGACUCUGUCUACCCUGGGCAGCUUUCCUGAUCCAUGGCAGUCUGGCUUACAAGCAAUACUAGGCUUCUAUUGUCUCUUUCUGUAUAUUUAUAAGAAACAUGGCCAGGCAAGAUGGCUUAUGUCUUUAAUCUCAGCUGUUUGGGAAGCCAAGUGGAAAGAUUGCUUGAGGCCAGGAGUUCAAGACCAACCUGGAUAAUACAGCCCAGUCCCAAAAAAGCACCUGAAGCUUGUUUUAGUUUUCAUUCUUCUUAUGAGAGAAAUUGGGCCUGAUGCUGAAGGAGAACUCUUCUGUCCACUGCAAGUCCACUUACAUGAGCAGCUAAAUAAAUGAAUGGGAUUCUGAAGGACUGUAUGUGGAGAGCAAGGUUAACCAUUUGUGCUUGCUGCAUGAGUGAAUAAGCAACGAUGAGUGUUAGGCUGUUUAUUCAGAUACCCUCACGCCACUGCAGAAGCGAGUAGAGGAAGAAUACAAGGAAAAAAGUGUCUCCCAGCCUGUGGAAAGAGGAUGGCUAUUUCAUCCACUAAAGGUGUACACUUUAAGUGAAUUGGUAUGUCUACAUCAUCCCAGGAGGAGUGAAUGUCUGUGUGUGUGUACCUGAGAUAAGAUGAUGUCUUGUCCAAUGCUGGUUUCCACCUUGUGCCCUGAGCUGUUGGGAGAGGCUCCUGCGACCUGUGACCCUGAAGCAGAAUAAGUGGACUGAAUAAAGGAAUGAUGCGUAU
rnacentral:lncRNA from 10 species